UACGGAGGAUGCGAGCGUUAUCCGGAUUUAUUGGGUUUAAAGGGUGCGUAGGCGGACUGUCAAGUCAGCGGUAAAAUUGAGAGGCUCAACCUCUUCCCGCCGUUGAAACUGGCGUUCUUGAGUGGGCGAGAAGUAUGCGGAAUGCGUGGUGUAGCGGUGAAAUGCAUAGAUAUCACGCAGAACUCCGAUUGCGAAGGCAGCAUACCGGCGCCCUACUGACGCUGAGGCACGAAAGCGUGGGUAUCGAACAGG
rnacentral:rRNA from 1 species